ACAUAUAAGUAGUAUAUUUAUGUAGGAUUUAUUAGUAUUUCCUCCUUCUGUAAUUCAUACAGGAUGCACAUAUAGGUAGCAUAUUUAUGUAGGAUUUAUUAGUAUUUCCUCCUUCUGUAAUUCAUACAGGAUACACAUAUAGGUAGUAUAUUUAUGUAGGAUUUAUUAGUAUUUCCUCCUUCUGUAAUACAUACUGGAUACACAUAUAAGUAGUAUAUUUAUGUAGGAUUUAUUAGUAUUUCCUCCUUCUGUAAUUCAUACAGGAUGCACAUAUAGGUAGCAUAUUUAUGUAGGAUUUAUUAGUAUUUCCUCC